UACGGAGGGGGGCUAGCGUUGUUCGGAAUUACUGGGCGUAAAGCGUACGUAGGCGGCUUUGUAAGUUAGAGGUGAAAGCCCGGGGCUCAACUCCGGAAUUGCCUUUAAGACUGCAUCGCUUGAAUCAUGGAGAGGUGAGUGGAAUUCCGAGUGUAGAGGUGAAAUUCGUAGAUAUUCGGAAGAACACCAGUGGCGAAGGCGACUCACUGGACAUGUAUUGACGCUGAGGUACGAAAGCGUGGGGAGCAAACAGG
rnacentral:rRNA from 1 species